UUAGAGUUUGAUCCUGGCUCAAGAUGAACCCUAGCGACAGGCUUAACACAUGCAAGUCGAGGGGCAGCACAGGUAGCAAUACCGGGUGGCGACCGGCGCACGGGUGAGCAACGCGUAUGCAACUUGCCUAUCAGAGGGGGAUAACCCGGCGAAAGUCGGACUAAUACCGCAUGAAGCAGGGAUCCCGCAUGGGAAUAUUUGCUAAAGAUUCAUCGCUGAUAGAUAGGCAUGCGUUCCAUUAGGCAGUUGGCGGGGUAACGGCCCACCAAACCGACGAUGGAUAGGGGUUCUGAGAGGAAGGUCCCCCACAUUGGUACUGAGACACGGACCAAACUCCUACGGGAGGCAGCAGUGAGGAAUAUUGGUCAAUGGCCGAGAGGCUGAACCAGCCAAGUCGCGUGAGGGAUGAAGGUUCUAUGGAUCGUAAACCUCUUUUAUAAGGGAAUAAAGUGCGGGACGUGUCCCGUUUUGUAUGUACCUUAUGAAUAAGGAUCGGCUAACUCCGUGCCAGCAGCCGCGGUAAUACGGAGGAUCCGAGCGUUAUCCGGAUUUAUUGGGUUUAAAGGGUGCGUAGGCGGCCUUUUAAGUCAGCGGUGAAAGUCUGUGGCUCAACCAUAGAAUUGCCGUUGAAACUGGGGGGCUUGAGUAUGUUUGAGGCAGGCGGAAUGCGUGGUGUAGCGGUGAAAUGCAUAGAUAUCACGCAGAACCCCGAUUGCGAAGGCAGCCUGCCAAGCCAUGACUGACGCUGAUGCACGAAAGCGUGGGGAUCAAACAGGAUUGGAUACCCUGGUAGUCCACGCAGUAAACGAUGAUCACUAGCUGUUUGCGAUACACUGUAAGCGGCACAGCGAAAGCGUUAAGUGAUCCACCUGGGGAGUACGCCGGCAACGGUGAAACUCAAAGGAAUUGACGGGGGCCCGCACAAGCGGAGGAACAUGUGGUUUAAUUCGAUGAUACGCGAGGAACCUUACCCGGGUUUGAACGCAUUCGGACCGAGGUGGAAACACCUUUUCUAGCAAUAGCCGUUUGCGAGGUGCUGCAUGGUUGUCGUCAGCUCGUGCCGUGAGGUGUCGGCUUAAGUGCCAUAACGAGCGCAACCCUUGCCACUAGUUACUAACAGGUGAUGCUGAGGACUCUGGUGGGACUGCCAGCGUAAGCUGCGAGGAAGGCGGGGAUGACGUCAAAUCAGCACGGCCCUUACAUCCGGGGCGACACACGUGUUACAAUGGCGUGGACAAAGGGAAGCCACCUGGCGACAGGGAGCGAAUCCCCAAACCACGUCUCAGUUCGGAUCGGAGUCUGCAACCCGACUCCGUGAAGCUGGAUUCGCUAGUAAUCGCGCAUCAGCCAUGGCGCGGUGAAUACGUUCCCGGGCCUUGCACA
rnacentral:rRNA from 1 species